GUUCUCUUCUCCGUAGCUUCUCCGCUCUAGUUUCUUUCUUCAGAUUUUUGUAUUCUUUUCCUUUCUUCUUGAACAUUGAUGGUCGACAGUAGAGUGGAGGUGAUGCAGCAAUUUAGGAACCCUAGAUUCAACCUAGACAUGGUGAACUCAUUUCCUCUCUCUUGCAAUUUCAAUCUCGCACAUAUCCUCCACUGGCCUUCCCCUGAAAAAGCUCACCCCAUUUUUCCCUGCUAUAGAAGCUCGUAUCACGCGAUUCCCUCCAUUGGCUUUCCUUCUCACUGUCUCCCUCUCUUCAUCACGCGGAAAACACCGCACGCCUAUCUUCAUCAAGUGAAAAACACUCCACAGCUAUCUUCGUUGCCUUCUCACCGAUCGUCAUUCGAUUUCGAUUGUCACCCAACUAGUUCCAUCUUCUCACUAUGGUCGGGCUUAGAUUCGAUAGAUGCAGGAACUGAUCCUAGGAUCUAAAAAUGUCGUGUAUUUGACCCAGUAAUAGAGAAACCCAAAGGUGAUAUUAUAUCAGUCUUGAAAGCUGAUAAAGAAGAUUUGGAAUCAUCACUCAACAAGGAGAAACAACAUGCUCUUCAAUUCAACCAAGAGCUGACAGAAGCUGAGUCUCGUAACACUGACCUUUAAAAGGGGCACUAUGGAAUCUUGCUUUCAAUGCUGGUAAUGCUCUACGAAUAAUAGAUGAAGGUGGAGUAUAUGCACUUGUUGACGAAGAAGAUUAUGAAGAAGGAUGAUAUUAAAAUAUGAUAUAUGCUUUGUUAAUUGAGUUUGUAAUAGUUAUACUUUAGAAAGAUUAUGCUUCCUAACAUGAUAUGAAUUUCAACUCCAUAGUAUUGAUUUUUACGGGUUAUUUUCCUUUAUACCUUGUUUGUUGUCGGGGAACUAGAGUUUUGAAUAAGAAAGGAGAAAACUUUUUUUUUUGUGGGAUUGUAUUUGAAUGACAAUGAAAUUUGUGUUUUUUUUUGCCUUUUGGGCGUGUUUGUUUUGUUACCUUUGAUUUCUUAUUGAGGUUUUAUGACUGGCAUGUAGGGUGGCAUCAACCAUUGAUGUUGUCUUGCUUUCACAUGCUGAUACACUUCACCUUGGUGCCCUCCCAUAUGCCAUGAAGCAGCUUGGACUCUCUGCCCCCGUUUAUUCAACUGAUCUUGUCUACAGAUUAGGCCUUCUCACUAUGUAUGACCAGUACCUUUCAAGAAAGCAAGUGUCGGAGUUCGAUCUGCUCACACUGGAUGAUAUUGAUUCUGCUUUCCAGAGUGUAACAAUGCUAACAUAUUCUUAGAAUCAUCAUCUGUCAGGCAAAGGAGAAGGAAUUGUGAUUGCGCCUCAUGUUGCUGGCCAUCUUUUGGGAGGUUUCUGAUCAAGGAAGUGUGUCGACUAAUACAACAAGUUCUGGACAUGAGAAAAAUCAUGUGAUAGUUAAAGAAUAUAAUAUAAUGUGGAAGUUAAUUGAAUCAUUUAAUGUUUUGAGAACCAUUGCAGUACUUCAUGAUAGUUUUUGCUGACUAAUAUUAUACUUGAAUUUGAAUUUGAAUUCGUAUAUUUGUUGUACUUUGAUAUACAUUUAGUCAUCUAUAAAUAAUGUCAAUUUGAUGAGUU